rnacentral:lncRNA from 1 species
GUCGGUGGCGUGCCCCUUUUAUCCCGGUUGGAGCCUCCAACCGGGACAAAAGGGUAGCCAACCGGGACUAAACUUUUUAUCCUAGGAGUAAAUUACUUACCAACUAGGAGUAAAUUUCAACCGGGACAAAAGGUGUUCCUAGGGUGACCCUUUUGUCCCGGUUGGAAUUACCAACCAGGAGUAAAUUUCAACCGAGACAAAAGGUGUUCCUUUAUGUCCCGGUUGGAGUUUUUAACCGGGAUAAAAACUCACUCCCCAUUAAAUCCCAAGAUAGAGGCCUUUCUUCCUCCUCCAACCCGAGCCAGUCCACUCCACAAAGAUAAAGAGCUUUCCUCAUUUCGGUGGCGCCGAAGCAAGGGAGGUGUUGCCCGAAUUUUUUUCCCUAAUUUCCAUGGGAAUUUCACUCAUCCAAAGUGUUGUGAAGGUUAGCUACUUCAUCCUCUUGUUAUGCUUUGAUUUAUGCUUUAGAGAGGGACAAAAAUGAGUUUGUUUGUUAGAAAGAGGGAGAAUGAAGAUGGUUUGUAUUUAUACAUGUUUUUGAGCUAGAAUGUGAUAGAUAGUUUGCUUGUUAUAUACGAUUCAUAUUAGUUAUGUGUAGAAUGAAGAUGGAUAGUUUAUUUGCUAGAAUGUGAGGAAGAUUGGAGUGUAAAUGUGAGGUAGAAUUGAGAGGAUUUCAAUAUUAAUUAUGAGAACAAAAUUAGUAUGUCAUGUGUGUCAUAUAUAGUAUGUAUCCUUGCAACGGUUUAAGAACGAUGCUACCCUUAUCUAGACGGUUUAUCUUGUCAAAUUCAAUAUGGUUUUUCAAAUCCGUACUUGUUGAACUUACAUACCGUGUUUAUCUCGAUAAGCAUGUUCUCCAUCGAGCAGUAAUGGAUGUCAAGGAGGAGCUCCGAUUCUACGAGUAAGAGCGGCAACGGACAUCGUGGAAGAUCGUGUCCCCUUUCUCGUAGAAUCGAAGCUCUUCCAUUGCGAAGUACGGUGCUGCCCAGUGG